rnacentral:rRNA from 1 species
AGGGCUUAAGGUGGAUGCCUUGGCACAUGAAGACUAAGAAGGACGUAAGUGAACGAAAACUAGGGAAAGCUCACAAAAAGCAAUAACCCCUAGGUAUCCGAAUGGGGAAACCCGUCUGUGGAAGACACAGACAUCAUAAAGUAAAUACAUAGCUUUAUGAAGUAAGACCCUGCGAACUGAAACAUCUAAGUAGCAGGAGGAAAAGAAAGAAAACUCGAUUUUCCAAGUAGCGGCGAGCGAAAAGAAAACAGCCCAACCCAGUAAGAAAUAUAUUAUCUAGUUAAAUCAUUUGGGAAAAUGAACCAGAGAAAGUGAAAGUCUUGUAAACAAAAGAAAAUAUAUUGUGGGUGCAAGUAGCAGUGAGCACGAGAAAUUUGCUGUGAAGAUAGGGGGACCAUCCCCUAAGGCUAAAUACUAACAUGUGACCGAUAGCGAACAAGUACCGUGAGGGAAAGGUGAAAAGAACCCCGAAAGGGGAGUGAAAGAGAACCUGAAACCUUAAGCCUACAAGCAGACAGAGGGCAAAAGCCUGAUGUCGUACCUUUUGUAGAAUGGGCCAGCGAGUUAUCAUAUAUAGCAAGGUUAAGUCUUUAAGAGACGGAUCCAAAGCGAAAGCGAGUCUUAAUAGGGCGAUAGUUAGAUAUGAUAGACCCGAAACCGGGUGAUCUAUCCAUGGUCAGAGUGAAGGUGAAGUAAAAUUCACUGGAGGCUCGAACCGGGUGCGGUUUAAAACGCAUCGGAUGAACUGUGGAUAGGGGCGAAAAACCAAACGAACCCGGAGAUAGCUGGUUCUCCUCGAAAUAGCUUUAGGGCUAGCCUAUGAUCAAAGAUUUAAGGAGGUAGAGCACUGACUGGCCUAGGGCGGCUAACCGUACCAAAGCCUAUCAAACUCCGAAUGCCAAAAAAUCAGAUCAUGGAGUCAGACUUAGAGGGAUAAGCUCCUAAGUCGAAAGGGAAAGAGCCCAGACCGACAGCUAAGGUCCCAAAAUCUGGAUUAAGUGGAAAAGGAUGUGAACCUACUAAGACAACCAGGACGUUGGCUUAGAAGCAGCCAUACAUUUAAAGAAUGCGUAAUAGCUCACUGGUCAAGUGGGUUUGCGCCGAAAAUAAACGGGGCUAAAAUUCAGUACCGAAGCUUCGGAUUGAUAGAGAAUUUAAAUCUAUAAUAUAAAGGAAACCAUUAAAAAAGGAUAAAGAAAACUAAACUAGACUGAGAAAUAUUAAAAAAUACAAUCAAGAUAAAACGAGUUAUCAACUAAUUAAUUACGCAAUAUCAAACACUAAGAUAAAGGUAAGUUGUAAACUACAAAAAUCACUAGAUUAAACAGUAAGAUAUAUAAAUAAAAAAUAUAUCAAAGUCUAAAAGAAGUAUUCUAAAACCAAAGAAAUGGUACUUAUGUAUAGAUUUAAAUACUCUAUCAGUGGUAGAGGAGCAUUGUAUUAGGGGUGAAGCCCAAGCGAAAGCAGGUGUGGACUUAAUACAAGAGAGAAUGCUGGCAUGAGUAGCGAGAAGGAGUGUGAGAAUCACUCCCGUCGAAACCCUAAGGACUCCUGAGCAAGGCUCGUCCCCUCAGGGAAAGUCGGGACCUAAGGUGAGGCCAAAAGGCGUAGCCGAUGGAUAACAGGUUUAUAUUCCUGUACCGCUUAAAGUCGCUAAUAGAGAAGUGAUGACGCAAGAGGAUAGACUAUCUGCCCGAUGGAAGGCAGUCUAAGCACAAAGGUUUAUUAGUAGGCAAAUCCGUUAAUAAAAAGACUAAUGUGUGAUAGGUAUCGAAAACAUGAGUAGAGAAGUAGUCGAUUUCAAAUUGCCAAGAAAAGUCACUAUCAAGACAAAAGCGCCCGUACCAAAACCGACACAGGUAGGGAGGUAGAGAAUACCAAGACGCGCGGAAGAACCUUUGUUAAGGAACUCGGCAAAAUGUCCCCGUAACUUCGGGAGAAGGGGAGCCAGAGCGAUCUGGCCACAGAAACCAGGCCCAAGCGACUGUUUACCAAAAACACAAGUUUCUGCAAAAUCGUAAGAUGAAGUAUAGGAGCUGACACCUGCCCGGUGCUGGAAGGUUAAGGGGAAGGCUUAGCGAAUGCGAAGGCUAGAACUUAAGCCCCAGUAAACGGCGGCCGUAACUAUAACGGUCCUAAGGUAGCGAAAUUCCUUGUCGGGUAAGUUCCGACCCGCACGAAAGGUGUAACGAUUUGGGCACUGUCUCAACAAAGGAUCCGGUGAAAUUGUAGUAGUCGUGAAGAUGCGACUUACCCACGCUAGGACGGAAAGACCCCGUGGAGCUUUACUGUAGGCUGAUAUUGGAUUUUGAGAUUAGACGUACAGGAUAGUUGGGAGACAAAGAAACUUGCACGCCAGUGUAGGUUAAGUCACCCUUGGGAUACCAACCCUCUAAUAUCAAAAUUCUAACAUUGACCCUUAAUCAGGGCAAAGGACAUUGUCAGUUGGGCAGUUUGACUGGGGCGGUCGCCUCCCAAAAAGUAACGGAGGCGUUCAAAGGUUCGCUCAGAAUGGACGGAAACCAUUCGAAGAGUACAAAGGCAAAAGCGAGCUUAACUGCGAGAUAUACAGAUCAAGCAGAGUAGAAAUACGGACUUAGUGAUCCGGUGGCACCGCAUGGAAGGGCCAUCGCUCAACGGAUAAAAGCUACCCCGGGGAUAACAGGCUUAUCUCCCCCAAGAGUCCACAUCGACGGGGAGGUUUGGCACCUCGAUGUCGGCUCGUCUCAUCCUGGGGCUGAAGUAGGUCCCAAGGGUUGGGCUGUUCGCCCAUUAAAGAGGCACGCGAGCUGGGUUCAGAACGUCGUGAGACAGUUCGGUCCCUAUCCAGCGUGGGCGUAAGAAAUUUGAGAGGACCUGUCCUUAGUACGAGAGGACCGGGAUGGACAUACCACUGGUGUACCAGUUGUUCCGCCAGGAGCAUAGCUGGGUAGCUAAGUAUGGAAUUGAUAAGUACUGAAAGCAUCUAAGUACGAAGCAACCCUCAAGAUAAGAUUUCU